rnacentral:lncRNA from 1 species
UUAAAAUCUUGUUCAGGACUCUUCUAAGAGUUAGAACUCUAUCACUCCAUCUGAGCGGUGGUGGUGUGGAGAAGAGAGAGAGAGAGAGAGAGAGAGAUGACAGGGGCUAGUGGUGGAGAAGAUCAAAACGUGACUCUGGACGUUCUGACGAAGAAAAUGGAGGAAUUUGCAAAAGAAAGAAACUGGGAGCGAUUUCACAGCCCCAGAAACCUUCUCUUAGCUCUCGUAUGUACUCUCUCUCUCUCUCUCAUUACGCAGAAACACACCUGUAUUUGUACGUGACUAAUUGAAUCUCGAUAAACCAGUUUUAUCUGAAAAAACAAUAGCAAUGCUUGGUUUUGUUGGUCUUUUUUUUACGGAAAAAAAAGAAAGGUAGGGAUAAUAUAUUUUGUACGGUACAUACUUAUAAAUGCAGAUCUCGACAUGUAUGUGAGUAUUCACCAUAUUUGUGAGCAUGCAUUGUUGUUAGCAAAAUUUAUUUUUUUAAUUUUUGUUUUUCUAUAUUUUCGAAGAAUACUUGUUUAGUUAAUGAUUUUUAAAACUUAUUUUAAAUUUUUUUACGAGAAGAAACUCACAUAAGUUGAAUUUUAUUUAAAAUAAAGUAGACUUAAUAUGCAUCUGUACUGAAUCUACCUCAUCUAAACCGGUAAAGAAUGCCAAGAAGAUUAUUACUACAAAAAAAUCAAAUUAUUCCGAGUUCAAUAAUCACAUUAUCAAAUUACAUUUAUUUUUUAAAAAAAAUUAACAGUUUGUGCUAAAAAUCAUCUAUCCCAACAAAAAUAAUAUGAUCAUAUGGAUACGACAAUCGGAUACUCGAUCAAUUUGAUUUUUUCAUAGAUAAUUGUCUUAGCAGAUCUCACUAUCCUACAAGUGAUUGAUCAAGUGAAUGAUUUGAAUCAAUUCAAAGUAAGCCCAUAACUUGACAACUUUACCAUAAAUUUUGAGCCUAAACAUUAGAGAAACUCAAUCCCUUUUCGAGUGCAACAUCACUCAGCUUUCUAUAAGUCUAAAUACAUGGGCGACACGUGAAAUAGUAGGGUGAAAUAGUAGGAUGAGUCCCAUUUAUAGUGAUGGAUUCCAUGUGUUUUGAUCAAUGUAAUAAUAAGUAAUAUUCACCCAAGAGUAAGGGUGGGAGAACUUAAUUACACUGAGACUUUUUCUUUUUAUUUAAUUUUGUAUCGCACUUGAAAAAUAAAAAAUAAAAGACACUUUCACGUAAUAAACCUUUGUUUGGUUAAUUAUGUGGUUUGUGUGUCACGUGCAGGGGGGAGAAGUAUGAGAUCUGAUCUGAAAUAUUUCAGUGGAAAGGGGAGGUACAAGGGGGUUUUUUCUGCCUGGAAUUGGAAGAGGAAGAGAAAAUACCUUUGGGUGAAGAGCUUUCAGAUGUUUUGCUCUACCCUUGUCAGACUUUCGGACAUAUGUGGUGUUUGAUCUUGGUACAUUGGCCCUUAGGAAGGUGAGCCCUCAAGCCCUUAAAUACCUGUUAGCCUUCCAAAAACUCUGCAAACAAAUUUUAAAAACAAGCCUUCUUGGUGUCUGAUCUCUCGUGACCAACACAGGAUUCUGUCUCAAAUUGUAGUGUCAAGGUAUAUGUGCUUUCUAAUUAACAUAUUUCCUCCAAAAUUCGUCGCCUAUUUGAGUUUAUCGUGUAAUAGUGCAUGAUCAUGAACGUUAAAACAGGCGAACGCUAGAGAAGGAUCGUAUUUAUGCUAACUAUUGGGUGAACGUUAAAACAGGCGAACGCUAGAAAAUGAUCGUAUUUAUGCUAACUAUUGGGUUCUAAUUUGUAGAUGUGAAUGGUUAUUUUAGCUAAUAUAUCUUUUUUGGUAAAAACUAUUUAUUUAUUUAAUAUUUUAUUUCAAGCAACUAAUUAGUUAAUUACUGUUAGAUUGUGUGGCAUCCUUUUGUUUCACGGAUGCUUUGAAUAGAUUUUUCCCUUCUGGACAGUCAUGAACUCUUCUACUUGGGUGUUUAGCAAUUGCCUUUUUUAUCAACUGCUCAGCUUUUAGCCAAAAAAAAAAGGAUUUAUUACAAUUGUUUUUUUAAAACGAAAAACAAUUUAUUUUGGAGAUCAAAUAACUGUUUUUUGAAAAUUACUCAACUCAAUGUUCUCAGUUUCUACUUCUGCUCUUACUCAAUUUUAAAAGCAAAAUGACGAAUAACCCCAUGCUUGUUUGACUUAAUUAUAAUAUCCUCAUAAAUAACCAACUAAUUCAACUUCCUUUAUUAUUUGGAAUAUUUAAUUACAAUACCCUUAGAAAUAAAUAACUACUCAAACUCCUUUAUUCUUCGAAUCAUUCUCUUCUCUCUAUAUCUCUCAUAUAUAUAUAUAUAUAAGAUCCCCAUUAGAGACACUAUCCUUUCGUCCAGAAUUGUCUCCGACCGUAAAUAAAUUGCCACCCAUCAUUUAAUUUUUUUUUGGUUGUUAAAUUUCUAUGAACAUAUAGUAUUUUUUUGGUUUGGUAUUGUAUUUUUAAUUAAAAAAUUAAAAUAUAUUUAU